rfam:Ixodes scapularis strain Wikel colony gcontig_1108378936806, whole genome shotgun sequence.
AGUGGAGUGGUGUAGUGGUCAGCACGCCCGAUCAGACAUUGGGAGGCCUAGAGUUCAAAUCCUGGCUCCGCCG